rnacentral:ncRNA from 1 species
AUUAUCAAGAGUGGACGAGAGAAUCGGCUCUAUGACUCCACAGCAACCUGUAAAAAGAAGGUGCUAAUACCGACAAAGUUAUUUUAAGAAA